rnacentral:sRNA from 1 species
GCCAGGCAUGGUGGCGCAUGCCUGCAAUCCCAGUGGCUUGGGAGGCUGAGACAGGAGAAUCCAGAGUUCAAACCCAGCCUCUGCAACUGUGAGGCACUAAGCAACUCAGUGAGACCCUAUCUCUA